rnacentral:tRNA from 3 species
GCGCCAUUAGCUCAGUUGGUAGAGCAUCUGACUCUUAAUCAGGCGGUCGCAGGUUCAACUCCUGUAUGACGCACCA